CGCCUCAUGCCUGAAAGGGCGACGGCGUCGAGCCGGAGCGAGAAGUCAGCAGAGGCCAUAGUAGUCACAGGAUAAGCCGGUGAGGUGGAAGCUGGUGACGAAGGGC
rnacentral:ncRNA from 1 species